rnacentral:rRNA from 1 species
AAGGAUCAUUAUCGUACAACCGAGGUGCAAGGGCUGUCGCUGACCCUCAAAGGUUGUGCACGCCCAAGCACUCUCACACAUCCGUCUCACCCCUUUGUGCAUCACCGCGUGGGCCCCCCUUUGCAAGAGGGCUUGCGUUUUCACAUAAAACCUGAUACAGUAUAGAAUGUUCUUCUUUUAUUUUGCGGUCACACGCAAUCAAUACAACUUUCAACAACGGAUCUCUUGGCUCUCGCAUCGAUGAAGAACGCAGCGAAAUGCGAUACGUAAUGUGAAUUGCAGAAUUCAGUGAAUCAUCGAAUCUUUGAACGCACCUUGCGCCCCUUGGCAUUCCGAGGGGCACACCCGUUUGAGUGUCGUGAAAUCAUCAAAAACCCUUUUCCUUUGAUCUUUGUUUGGUCGGGAAGAGGAUUUUUGGACUUGGAGGUUCCAUGCUUGCUUUCGAAGGCGAGCUCCUCUCAAAUAAAUUAGUGGGGUCCGCUUUGCUGAUCCUUAAUGUGAUAAGAUGUUUCUACAUUUUGGAUUUAGCACUGUCCCUUGGAUGCCUGCUCCUAACUGUCUUUUGGACAAUGAUGGUGCUCCGGUCAUUGCCAUUUACAUUGGCGAGAGGCUGGACCCACAAAAAAACCUUGA